rnacentral:rRNA from 1 species
UACAGAGGGUGCAAGCGUUGUUCGGAAUUAUUGGGCGUAAAGGGCGCGUAGGCGGUGCGGUAAGUCUGUUGUGAAAUCUCUGGGCUCAACUCAGAGUCGUCGACACGGAAACUGCCGUGCUUGAGUAUGGGAGAGGUGAGUGGAAUUCCCCGGUGUAGCGGUGAAAUGCGUAGAUAUCGGGAGGAACACCUGUGGCGAAAAGCGGCUCACUGGCCAUAACUGACGCUGAUGCGCGAAAGCUAGGGGAGC